AAAACUGACCAUUUUAAUUUGAAAGUGAUCAAACACGCUUUCCGCUAUUUUAAGUUUUAUUCCGCUAUGUUAUACUUUAUCUUCGAUCGAUACCGAUUGUUCCAACACUAUCAUAUAUAUUCACAUGAAAAUGAUAACUCCCCCUGAAGUAUAGCAUGUGAAGAAAUAUGUGUAAAUGUGUAAUGCUCCCUGAUAAUUGUUUAAAACACCGUUAUUUGUGACGUAAUUUUAAUACUAAAAGCAUCUUUUUUCACUUAGAAACUUGCUUGGACUCACACAUUUUCAAUAAAUUGUGUGAAUAAGAGAGUUGAGGUUGAUUUCGAUGGUUUUAUGACUAAUUCCCCC
rnacentral:lncRNA from 1 species